rnacentral:rRNA from 1 species
CGAACGCUGGCGGCGUGCUUAACACAUAGCAAGUCGAAACGCGAAAGGGGACUUACGGUCCUGAGUAAAGUAGGCGCACGGGUGAGUAACGCGUAGAUAACCUGUCUUCAUGUCUGGAAUAAUACGCCGAAAGGGGUACUAAUACCGGAUAUUCUUGCUUUUCAUAAGUUAUGCAAGCAAAGGUGGCCUCUGCAUAUGCUACUGCAUGAAGAGGGGUCUGCGUACCAUUAGCUAGUAGGUGGGGUAAUGGCCUACCUAGGCGACGAUGGUUAGCGGGUCUGAGAGGAUGAUCCGCCACACUGGCACUGGAACACGGGCCAGACUCCUACGGGAGGCAGCAGUGAGGAAUAUUGCGCAAUGGGGGAAACCCUGACGCAGCGACGCCGCGUGAGUGAAGGAAGGCCUUCGGGUCGUAAAGCUCUGUCAAGAGGAAAGAAGUGUACAAUGGCUAAUACCUGUUGUAUUUGACGGUACCUCUAAAGGAAGCACCGGCUAACUCCGUGCCAGCCGCUGC